rnacentral:lncRNA from 1 species
UGGCAUGCAUUUGCAAUGAUUUAUCUCGAUCAUGGAUUGAAGUGAUUUGCUCGGGAUGCAAUCUUUAGGCGUGUUUAGUGUUUGCACCAGCUAAAUCAUCUGGUUUUUGAUGGAAGGAAACAUUCCUUUCUGCUAAGAGAGAUACUCUACUACUACGAUAGUGAUGGUACAGCGAAGUUGCAGCUAGCACUGGUGACAAAUACCAUCUUAGGAAUUCAUGUUACAGGUGAAGAGAAGUAUCGACGUCUGCUUUGUUGCUCGCGGAAGAGCUUUGAGCAGCGCUUGCACGGGGCCACAAGCUCAUGGACAGCGAGGUGUCGAGUGUCUGGGACUGGUGAUGGAGUCGGCCGGACGCGGCGCCAGGGAACAGCCACUUGGGAUGCUCGGGGGGAACGCUUGGGCUCCUGACGACGACCGACCGGUGCAGUUGUCUUUCCUCUCUCAUCUCUCUAACUCUUUGCAGCUGCUUGAACCUCUCCUGCAGCAGGGCGAUGGAGGAGUUGACGCCGACGGGUCCCGUGUCUUCCCUCCCCAUGGAAGCAGGCAGCUCCAGGCUGAGUAGGUGAGUGGGAGUGGUGUGUUAGCUCGAAGGUAGCAGUGAAGUGUUGGAUUUAUAGGGAAUGAUUCCUGUGUUGUUGCAUUAAUUUUCACGCAUAUUGGUGCCCUCUAAUUGAUCCAGGAUGAUGCACGGCGAGUAGGAGGAGAAUCUAUGGUGGAAGGCAAAGUCCAAGUGCUAAAGGGUGUGAAGGUUGCCUCAGGAGUUGUUUGGUGAAUGGGAGCAGGGCCAAAGCCACUUUUUAAAGGGAGAUAGGGGUGAGGGAGUAGACCAAGGAAGCAUGGAGGUAUGCAUUUGGAAGGGAGUUUUGAGAAGAAUAAGAUUAUGUGACUGGUUUGUCCUCUAUCACUUGCCCAGAUUGCAAUCUCUUAAUCACCUCCUGUUGUUCUAUUUUAUGGGGGGGCUUUGGAAGACAGCCUUUCCAGGUUCCUUCCAUCUCUUCCAAUUCUUGGGUAAUCUAUUCAUGCAUGCUUUUGACUACAGAAGCAAAAGCAUUAUUAACUUGGAUUUAAUGGAUUGCAUGUAUCGUCCCAGCAGAAGGCUGUGCUGCUGCUGUAGUUUCAAUCUCUUACGUCUGCAACUUUCUACUUUGUCGUGAGUCAUUUGGAUGGGAAGGGACUUCUGCUGGUCUGAAGGCAGUGACACUUAUGCUGCUGGUGCUGUUCUCUUGUCAUGCUUCGUUUUCCUUCUUGGAGUGAUACUGCCAUCUCCACAUCACCAUCCUUUUCCGCUUGUUCUGUGAAGUAGCCUUCAAUGGUCCUAUAGUUCCAUUUGCAGUGGCAUCAAUGUUAAAGAUGUGGAGUAUCUUCUCUAGAAUGAUGGAUUGAGAGCAAGCAACUAAGUGCAUGAUGAUAUGUAAAUAGAUCGCACCAACCUCAUCUAGUUUUUGGCUUAAGAUUAUACCAUACAACACUAUGUUUUUGGCAAUUUCAGAGAAGCUUAAUCUCAGUGAAGAAGAUGUUUCACAGUAAUUUGUUUCUCAUUAUUCUUUUUCUGUGGAUUCCACAUCUAUCUCUGCCUAAAAUCUGUUCCAAGACAUAUCUAUUGUACAUCCAAUUUGUACCUAUCUUGAUUUGUAUAUUUCAACAAUC